CUGUCUAUCUAUUAUAGUUUCAAACUUUCAACAUAGUUUCAACAUAAAAGGCAAAACAAAGAGACUUGUAAAAAAAAUCAUUUUUGAAGGGCAAUAAUAACUCCUACUAGAAGGAGUUCAUUUGAUACUAUUGGUGCUAAUAGGAAGUGGGUAAAUCUUAACAUUCUGAGCAUUUUUGCCCCAUUAUAUUUUCUUUAUAUCUAAUGGUUUUCAACAUAUAAGACAAUAAAUGCAUAUUACUCUUAAUAUGUUCUAUUUGUAGCCAUGGUGGCCAUAUUGAUUGCUUGACAGAAACAAAACAAAAUCUAAAUUUUGUACAUUUUUAUACUACUUUUUCAAGAUUAUGCAGAAGAUUGCUUGAAAUUGAUCAUAUAGUUUCACAGCAGGAGAUGUUUGAAAAAGUUUAUUAUCGAUGCCAAGUAUGGCAAGGGCUCAAAUAGCCUAGGAGAGCUUAAAAUGUGUAUUGUAAC
rnacentral:lncRNA from 1 species